AGAUAUUGACGAAUGUGCAAGCAACCCGUGCCACAAUGGAGCCACGUGCAACAAUUUACUGGAUCACUACACGUGCACCUGUGCUGGUGGUUGGCAAGGAUACGACUGUGAUCAGGACAUUGAUGAGUGCGCAAGCAACCCGUGCCAGAAUGGUGCCACGUGCAACAACUUGUUAGAUCUAUACACUUGUGACUGCGCCGGUGGUUGGCAGGGGUAUGACUGUGACAUUGAUAUUGAUGAAUGUGCGAGCAACCCGUGCCAGAAUGGAGCCACAUGCAACAACCUUGUCAACCAUUACACGUGCACAUGUGCCGGUGGCUGGCAGGGAUACGACUGUGAUAUAG